rnacentral:tmRNA from 1 species
GGGGGCGAAACGGCUUCGACAGGGUAAGGAAAAAUAAAAGUGCAAGCAGGUUAGAUACGACCUUAACAGUUCAAAAACAAUAGUUGCAAACAACAACACACACUUCGAAUCUGUCCGCUUAGCGGCUUAAUCGGGAGGCUGCUCAAAGCCUUCUAUCCAAUUUGAGCAAAAACAACAGACAAGUUGUAAAAAUCAAAACAUCUAAUGCAACAGGACGGUAAGCAUUAGAUUAUAACCGUCUACCUUUGUCAGUAAGUGAUAGAAACUGACCAAGCUUGUGAAUGACUUGAAUUUAGAUGUAUUCUGGACGCGGGUUCGACUCCCGCCGCCUCCACCA